UACAGAGGUCUCAAGCGUUGUUCGGAUUCAUUGGGCGUAAAGGGCGCGUAGGCGGCCACCGCAAGUCGACUGUGAAAUCUCCGGGCUUAACUCGGAAAGGUCAGCCGAUACUGCGGGGCUAGAGUGCAGAAGGGGCAACUGGAAUUCUCGGUGUAGCGGUGAAAUGCGUAGAUAUCGAGAGGAACACCUGCGGCGAAGGCGGGUUGCUGGGCUGACACUGACGCUGAUUGUGCGAAAGCUAGGGGAGCGAACGGG
rnacentral:rRNA from 1 species